rnacentral:rRNA from 1 species
UAGGGAAUCUUCCGCAAUGGGCGAAAGCCUGACGGAGCAACGCCGCGUGAGUGAUGAAGGUCUUCGGAUCGUAAAACUCUGUUAUUAGGGAAGAACAAAUGUGUAAGUAACUAUGCACGUCUUGACGGUACCUAAUCAGAAAGUCACGGCUAACUACGUGCCAGCAGCCGCGGUAAUACGUAGGUGGCAAGCGUUAUCCGGAAUUAUUGGGCGUAAAGCGCGCGUAGGCGGUUUUUUAAGUCUGAUGUGAAAGCCCACGGCUCAAACGUGGAGGGUCAUUGGAAACUGGAAAACUUGAGUGCAGAAGAGGAAAGUGGAAUUCCAUGUGUAGCGGUGAAAUGCGCAGAGAUAUGGAGGAACACCAGUGGCGAAGGCGACUUUCUGGUCUGUAACUGACGCUGAUGUGCGAAAGCGUGGGGAUCAAACAGG